rnacentral:rRNA from 1 species
GACGAACGCUGGCGGCGUGCCUAAUACAUGCAAGUUGAGCGCUGAAGGUUGGUACUUGUACCAACUGGAUGAGCAGCGAACGGGUGAGUAACGCGUGGGGAAUCUGCCUUUGAGCGGGGGACAACAUUUGGAAACGAAUGCUAAUACCGCAUAAAAACUUUAAACACAAGUUUUAAGUUUGAAAGAUGCAAUUGCAUCACUCAAAGAUGAUCCCGCGUUGUAUUAGCUAGUUGGUGAGGUAAAGGCUCACCAAGGCGAUGAUACAUAGCCGACCUGAGAGGGUGAUCGGCCAAAUUGGGACUGAGACACGGCCCAAACUCCUACGGGAGGCAGCAGGAGGGAAUCUUCGGCAAUGGACGAAAGUCUGACCGAGCAACGCCGCGGGAGUGAAGAAGGUUGUCGGAUCGUAAAACUCGGUUGGUAGAGAAGAACGUUGGUGAGAGUGGAAAGCUCAUAAAGUGACGGUAACUACCCAGAAAGGGACGGCUAACUACGCG